rnacentral:rRNA from 1 species
AGGGUGUAAACGCUGCAGACUUGGUGUUGGAGGCCCUUUGGGGGCAUUCAGUGCCGGAGAGAAGUUGUUAAGUCUGCUACUUGGGGAGUACGUCCGCAAGGAUGAAACUUAAAGGAAUUGGCGGGGGAGCACCGCAACGGGAGGAGCGUGCGGUUUAAUUGGAUUCAACACCGUAAACUCACCAGGGAAGACUGUUACAUGAAGGCCGAGAUGAAGACUCUGCUAGAUUUUCAGAGAGGCGGUGCAUGGCGUCAGUGACU